AGGCCUAGGACUUGGGCGAUGGCAUGCGUGCCCACAGAGAGGGCUCUGAGUGCCGCCUCUAGCACCCGUGCCAUAGGUUCGCCACCACUGAACAAAACUAACAAAGUCUGCUCUCAGUUCAUUCUGGAAUCUGACUCUCUCUCCAGAGGAUAAUUUCCAUUCCUGUGAACAUGAUCAGAUCAAUGGGAUUCCAAGUUUCAAUGGGAAGAAAAAUUGGAUAAUAUUGGGAUCUCUUAGCGUUGCCAUUCUGAUUCUGGCUGCCUUGCUUUAUCUUUUGGUAAAGAAAGGUGUAUUUUGCUUAUCAAAGGAAGAUGAAUCAAAUUCUGAAACUAGUCUUUAUGGUAAUAUUUUACCAUUCUAGAAAAAGGAAGCAAUCUGAAGAUGUGGGUGUAGGAAAGACUGCUGGAAAAAAAAAGACUAUUUCCCCCAAUUAUUAUGUCUGAAACAGAAGAAGGGAAAAACAAGGGUGAUUAUACAGAUACAGGUUACA